CACGUAGGGGCAAGCGUUGUCCGGAUUUAUUGGGCAUAAAGAGCUCGUAGGCGGCUCAGUAAGUCGGGUGUGAAACCUCCAGGCUCAACCUGGAGACGCCACCCGAUACUGCUGUGGCUUGAGUCCGGUAGGGGAGCGUGGAAUUCCUGGUGUAGCGGUGAAAUGCGCAGAUAUCAGGAGGAACACCAGCGGCGAAGGCGGCGCUCUGGGCCGGUACUGACGCUGAGGAGCGAAAGCGUGGGUAGCAAACAGG
rnacentral:rRNA from 1 species